rnacentral:rRNA from 1 species
AUUGAACGCUGGCGGCAGGCCUAACACAUGCAAGUCGAGCGGAGCGGCGGCCGGGUGAGUAAUGCCUAGGAAUCUGCCUGGGAGUGGGGGAUAAGGUUAGGAACCGGGCGCUAAUACCGCAUACUAUCACAUGAGCCUAGGCCGGAUUGGCAAGUUGGUGGGGGAAAGGGCUACCAAGGCGACGAUCCGGAACUGGGCUGAGAGGAUGAGCAGCCACACUGGAACUGAGACACGGUCCAGACUCCUACGGGGGGCAGCAGUGGGGAAUAUUGCACAAUGGGCGCAAGCCUGAUGCAGCCAUGCCGGGGGUAUGAAGAAGGCCUUCGGGUUGUAAAGUACUUUCAGCGGGGAGGCGUUACCCGCAGAAGAAGCACCGGCUAACUCCGUGCCAGCAGCCGCGGUAAUUC